rnacentral:rRNA from 1 species
UGCUGCUACGGCAGCGAAUUUGGUGAUGUCAUGCUUCCAAGAAAAGCCCUAUACCCGUUAAGGCAUCAUGGCCUGUACCCGAAACCGACACAGGUGGGGUGGUAGAGAAUACCGAGGGGCGCGAGGUAACUCUCUCUAAGGAACUCGGCAAAAUGGCCCCGUAACUUCGGGAGAAGGGGUGCCACCGCAAGGUGGUCGCAGUGAAGAGGCCCAGGCGACUGUUUACCAAAAACACAGGUCUCCGCUAAGUCGCAAGACGAUGUAUGGGGGCUGACGCCUGCCCAGUGCCGGAAGGUUAAGGAAGCUGGUCAGCGCAAGCGAAGCUAGCGACUGAAGCCCCGGUGAACGGCGGCCGUAACAAUAACGGUCCUAAGCUAGCGAAAUUCCUUGUCGGGUAAGUUCCGACCCGCACGAAAGGCGUAACGAUCUGGGCGCUGUCUCGGAGAAAGGCUCGGCGAAAUAGAAUUGUCUGUGAAGAUGCGGACUACGUGCACCCGGACAGAAAGACCCUAUGAAGCUUUACUGUAGCUUGGUAUUGUGCCCGGGCUCGCAAUGCGCAGGAUAGGUGGGAGGCUUUGAUCAUCGGCUUGCGGGUCGAUGUGAGCCAACGGUGAGAUACCACUCUUUGCGAGCUAGGGUUCUAACGGCCACCCGUCAUCCGGGGGCCGGACAGUACCUGGUGGGCAGUUUGACUGGGGCGGUCGCCUCCUAAAAGGUAACGGAGGCGCGCAAAGGUUUGCUCAGGCUGGUUGGAAAUCAGCCGACGAGUGUAAAAGCAGAAGCAAGCUUGACUGUGAGACCAACAAGUCGAACAGGGAGGAAACUCGGCUUUAGUGGUCCGACGGUUCUGAGUGGAAGGGCCGUCGCUCAACGGAUAAAAGUUACUCUAAGGAUAACAGGCUGAUCUCCCCCAAGAGUUCACAUCGACGGGGAGGUUUGGCACCUCGAUGUCGGCUCAUCGCAACCUGGGGCUGAAGUCGGUCCCAAGGGUUGGGCUGUUCGCCCAUUAAAGCGGUACGCGAGCUGGGUUCAGAACGUCGUGAGACAGUUCGGUCCAUAUCCGGUGCACGCGCAGGAAUAUUGAGAGGAUUUCUCCCUAGUACGAGAGGACCGGGAGGAACGCACCUCUGGUGUACCAGUUAUCGUGCCAACGGUAAACGCUGGGUAGCCAUGUGCGGAGUGGAUAACCGCUGAAAGCAUCUAAGUGGGAAGCCCACCUCAAGAUGAGUAUUCCCAUGGCGUAAGCCAGUAAGGUCACGGGAAGAACACCCGUUGAUAGGCUCUAUGUGGAAGCGCAGUAAUGCGUGAAGCAGAGGAGUACUAAUAGACCGAGGGC